rnacentral:rRNA from 1 species
GAUGAACGCUGGCGGCGUGCCUAAUACAUGCAAGUCGAGCGAACGGACGAGAAGCUUGCUUCUCUGAUGUUAGCGGCGGACGGGUGAGUAACACGUGGAUAACCUACCUAUAAGACUGGGAUAACUUCGGGAAACCGGAGCUAAUACCGGAUGAUAUUUUGAACCGCAUGGUUCAUAAGUGAAAGACGGUCUUGCUGUCACUUAUAGAUGGAUCCGCGCUGCAUUAGCUAGUUGGUAAGGUAACGGCUUACCAAGGCAACGAUGCAUAGCCGACCUGAGAGGGUGAUCGGCCACACUGGAACUGAGACACGGUCCAGACUCCUACGGGAGGCAGCAGUAGGGAAUCUUCCGCAAUGGGCGAAAGCCUGACGGAGCAACGCCGCGUGAGUGAUGAAGGUCUUCGGAUCGUAAAACUCUGUUAUUAGGGAAGAACAUAUGUGUAAGUAACUGUGCACAUCUUGACGUUACCUAAUCAGAAAGCCACGGCUAACUACGUG